GACGAACGCUGGCGGCGUGCCUAACACAUGCAAGUCGAACGGGGUGAUUCCUUCGGGGAUCACUUAGUGGCGAACGGGUGAGUAACGCGUGAGAAACCUGCCUUUCAGUGGGGGACAACAGUUGGAAACGACUGCUAAUACCGCAUAAUGUUAUCGAGCGGCAUCGCUUGAUAACCAAAGCUUUAUGUGCUGAAAGAUGGUCUCGCGUCUGAUUAGCUAGUUGGUGAGGUAACGGCUCACCAAGGCGACGAUCAGUAGCCGGUCUGAGAGGAUGAACGGCCACAUUGGGACUGAGAUACGGCCCAGACUCCUACGGGAGGCAGCAGUGGGGAAUAUUGGGCAAUGGGGGGAAACCCUGACCCAGCAACGCCGCGUGAAGGAAGAAGGCCUUCGGGUUGUAAACUUCUUUACCUAGGGACGAACACAAUAGACGGUACCUAGGAGAAAAAGACAACGGCUAACUACGUAG
rnacentral:rRNA from 1 species